rnacentral:sRNA from 1 species
UUUUGAAAGGUUUAUAUCUCCCAAUGUCCUUUCACUUCAGCUCUGAUGAUUGGAUUCCUGUUUUACUUACUGCAGAAUUAACUGUACAAUAUCAUGCUUACAUGUUCAGUGAGGAUGAAGUAAAUGGGCAUUAUCAAAGAUUGUUGAUGGGGUUGUAAUUAGUAUAAUCCCUUUUGAGGUCACUUGGGUAGUACCUAUCAAAAUAAAUGUGCAUGUUAUCCAGCAAUCCCAUAUCUAGAAAUUUAUCUGACUGAAAUAUUCUGACUUGUGUGCAAAGACACACACAGGUACACAAACAUAUAAUGGUAGGGAAUUGGUUGGCUCGACUGGUACAUUUGUAACUAUUCAGCCCUAGAGUAAAAGUAAGGGAAAUCUAUCUGUAUGACAUGAUAUGGCAAGAUGCCCCUAACAUGUUACGUACAAAAAGGCAGAUUGUAUGUGUCCUGGAUGUGUCACAAGAAGAUGUGUAUACUUACCCAUUUAAGAACUAAUUUUAGGUAUACAGAAAAAGUCUGGAAGAUUAUACCUCAGUUAUUUAUGUUUGCCAUGGGAGAGGAAAUUUUUACUUUCUGUGCAUUUAUAUUUAGGAUUUUUGUCAUCAGGAAUUAUCACUUUUUGACUGAAUAAAAGUUUUUAAAAUAUGCUCACAUUAAAGUUUUUCAAAUUUUACAAUGAAAAAAUGACAAUGAAAAAUCAGUAGAAAAAGAAAUGCAUGUAUCAAAUGAUGAUGUGAACUAUCAACACAAUUAAAUUUGUUAUUGCUUUUCUGAGUAUUUUUUCUUUAAUUGAGAAGAUUCAAAUUUUGGAUGAAAUCGUGGAGGGAGUUAACUUAAAGAUUACCUUUGCUUUUGUCUUGAGUCCUAGAUGUCCUCCUAACCUAGUUCUGAAGUAGAUUAUUGUAUUCAGCUUGUUAAUAGAUUUUUUUUUUUUUUUCUGAACUGCUGUUUUUCCAACUUUGUUUUAAGGAAUAAACAUCAUCCUGACCUUCAUCUCUGGGCUUGUUCUGGGAAGCGAAAAGACCAAGAUCAAAUAAUAGCUGGGGUGGAGAAAAAAAUAGCUCAAGACACAGUUAAUCGAGAAGAAAAGAAAUAUGUACAGAACCAUAAAGAACCACCUCGUUUGCCCCUAAAAAUGGAAGGAACUUAUAUAACAAGUGAGCAUAGCUAUCAAAAGCCACAAAGUUUUGGUCAGGACUGUAAAUCUCUCGCAGACCCUGGGAGCUCAGAUGAUGAUGAUGUUAGUAGUUUGGAAGAAGAACAAGAAUUCCAUAUGAGAAGUAAAAACAGUUUACAGUACUCAGCAAAAGAACACGGAAUGCCUGAAAAGAAUCCAGCUGAAGGGAAUACAGUAUUUGUUUGUAAUGAUAAAAAGGGCACCGAAGACCCAGGAGACUCACAUCUUCAGUGGCAGCUCAAUCUCCUUACACACAUAGAAAAUGUGCAGAACGAAGUUACCAGCAGGAUGGACCUAAUAGAAAAAGAAGUCGAUGUUCUGGAAAGCUGGCUUGAUUUCACAGGGGAGUUGGAGCCACCAGAUCCUCUUGCAAGAUUGCCCCAACUUAAACGCCACAUAAAGCAGCUCCUAAUUGACAUGGGCAAAGUACAGCAGAUAGCAACUCUUUGCUCUGUAUGACAACAGUGAACACUUAAUGAAAGAAUGUGGCUUUCUUCAGUCAAAGCAUUUUUAUUAUCCACGUGAUGGCUAAGUGGAUAAUUUAAAAGCUUAGUAAUGUCUGGUCAUUCACUGAUUUGUGAUGUCAAUAGGAUGGCACCUUGGAAAGAAAAAUGAAGAACAACUUUAUCAAGGAAGCUAGUAUUUAAAAACAAAUUCAUGAGCAAGCUGCAAAUGAGAAUGUGUUAUAUGCCAAGGAACAAUGAAGUAGAAUAUAAUGUAUACUAAGGGAUUUCAAGUUCGCAGAAUUUUUGAGUAGUUGCUUACGUGAAGCUCAAGAUACCUGUAGAAAGAAAUAUGGUAUAUUUAUAUAGUUUUUAAUAGAAAGAUCUAUGUUUAUAAACCAGCACUUGGCCAAAAACAAAAUUGUAAAGGAAAUUUAAAUUCUGGAGAAUUCUACAGGGUUGCUCUAAGAACUGUCUUCUCAGCAGUUGAUCCAGCUGUACGGAAAUUUAGGGUAUUUAAACUUUUAAAGGAUCAUGAGCUGUUUCUUGGGCGAUGAAUGUUCUUAAUCAGAAAACUGACAGUAGAAAUCUCACUUCUGGGGAAAACAGUUGUGGAAUUCUUACUUCAUUAUGAAUGUAUUUAAAAAACAAACACCAAAUAAUUGGAAUAUAUUGCAGGCAUUAAGCUCAUUAAAAACAAACUGGCUUGCAGAAGGGUCCGAUGUGCCAAGUGAUCAUGAUUCUGCUGGAAAGAGGAUUUUAAAUAUUGUGGGAGUUCUCCCACCCUAAGUCUUACAUAAUGCCACCAGUCCAUCCAAAACCUAUAUAUCACCUAUACUAUAUAUAUCAUAUAUAUAGUUGAAUGGCAGUAUUCAGGCUCAACGUACAGUUUGAUCCUGAGUAUGCUUGGUGUUUGCCUUCAGAAAAAAAAACACAAAACAUUGUAAAUAACCUCAGCUGGGAUGAGGAGUGACAGAAUAUCAAAAUAAUUUGUGGCUGUGGAUUUUUUUAACUGCUAGUAGUGGAAUACUGGAAAAGCUUCAUUUCUGAAGAUGAAUUUUAUUUUUAAAAAAUACAUGCACACUCAAAACUUUUAGCUUUGAUCACAAAUGGACAAAUUUCUGAAACCAAAGGCAACUAAGUUGCUCUGUUAGCUCUUGCUGGAUUUUGAGCCUAGGUCCUACUGUCUGCCAGUACUCAUGUGAGUUGUAUGCGCCCCCAGUGCUACAUACGCAGGUAUGCGUAAGUGUGUAUGCUUGUUUUAAACAAACACUCAACGUACAUAUGUACAUAAUCUACACAUAUUUAUAUCACAUAUCUAGUUUUAUUACUAUAGACUAUAUGAAUUGGUGGUUAACAUGAAAUGUUACCUUUUAACAGACUGUUUUUAAAAAUUAAAAAUGUAUGUAUAGGUUUUGAAAUUUUUUUAAAAGGGGAAAAAGACUGUUAAGAGGAGGCUAUUUGAUGACAUAACACUUGAAUAUUUUAUGCCUCAUUCUGUUUAUCAGUUCUCGCAAUCUGUAUAAAUGCAUUUUAGAACUGAUAGACAGUAAACUUGAAUUUAUCUUUGAUAAGAAUACAUGCCACUGUACAUUCAGAUAUUAUUUAAAUUUGCAAACACAUUGUUCUAUAUGUAAGGGUACUGUAUGUAAAACUCUUUAUUAAAACUAUUCCACAUAUCCU